rnacentral:rRNA from 1 species
UACGUAGGGGGCAAGCGUUGUCCGGAAUCAUUGGGCGUAAAGAGCGUGUAGGCGGCCCGAUAAGUCCGCCGUGAAAGUCCAGGGCUCAACCCUGGGAUGCCGGUGGAUACUGUCGGGCUCGAGUCCGGAAGAGGCGAGUGGAAUUCCUGGUGUAGCGGUGAAAUGCGCAGAUAUCAGGAGGAACACCAAUGGCGAAGGCAGCUCGCUGGGACGUGACUGACGCUGAGACGCGAAAGCGUGGGGAGCAAACAGG